rnacentral:tRNA from 1 species
GCUAUAAGAAGCAAUAACUGCAUUGGUUUUGUAAACCAAAAAAUGAAUCUAUUUCCUUUAGUA